AAGAUCUUACUCUUCUUUUGUUCUCUUGCACCGUUCCAUGGCAGACCCUUGCUCUAAUCUUUUCACUGGAUGGUUCAACUUUAUGCCUACUCAUUCUCAUUACACUACUGCUUUCACUCCUUACUCAAAUCGCUCUCCCUAUAGUUUCAAUCUCUACUCAAACAACCACAUCUUCAACAACAGAUCUUCCAUUCAAUAUCAAACCUACUAUCCCCCACCUCCUCCUCAGAAGGAGUCUCCUCCUCCUCCUCCUCUAAUAGAGUACUUAUGUCCCUCAAGACAACAAGAAGAGAACCACGAAUCCUCUAGUAAUUCCAUGGAAGAGGACAGGAACAUUAACAAGAAAUAUGAUGGUGGUGGUGAAACUGUGACCGUGGCUCUACAUAUAGGCCUCACUAGCCCUAGUUCUGAUCUGGGUUCUAGGGUUUGUUCCCACCCAUCAACAGAAGAAGGAAGUAGUGCAGUAUCAGGGGGUUACCCAUUGCAGAAACUAAUCAAGGGUCAAUAUUGGAUCCCUACUCCUUCUCAGAUUCUCAUUGGUCCUACACAGUUUUCAUGUCCUGUUUGCUUCAAGACUUUUAACAGAUACAACAACUUGCAGAUGCAUAUGUGGGGACAUG
rnacentral:misc_RNA from 1 species